CCCACCGUUAACCGGAAGUUUGUCAUUACAAGUUUGUCAAUAAAUAGAGUCGAAACACUCAACUUUUUGCUCAUUUUUGUCCUGUAUUUAGAUGAACUAAGUUAUCGACUGCAUCAAUUUAUAUGCUGACAAUAAGCUAUUUCAAAAUUUCAUUGUGAAAAUAUUUGGUUGAUUUGAAAACCCCUUAUAUCACUAAAGUACGGCAAUAACAGUUAUAAAUUCCUUCACAUUUUCAAAUUGCAUAAAAAUAUAAUGUCUAACACAAUCUUGGUUUGAUUUAUUUUUGGCUGUGACCGUUUACUUAAAUUCGACAUUCAUUUGCACAUUAAAUUUUUGUAUGUUUUUAAAUGUCGUUUUUAACUAAAAUUUCAAGACAUCGGGAUUAAAUCGAUAUCAAUCCGUCUUUAUCGUAUAUCAAAAUAAACUUAUAACCCUUUAUCAAACCUAUUUCAGGUGUUAUUUCAACUUUUUAAGAAGAUUAUUUUCUCGUCCAAUUUUCGUCUGCUGCAAUCUUGCCGACG
rnacentral:lncRNA from 1 species